rnacentral:rRNA from 1 species
AUUGAACGCUGGCGGCAUGCCUUACACAUGCAAGUCGAACGGCAGCACGGGUGCUUGCACCUGGUGGCGAGUGGCGAACGGGUGAGUAAUACAUCGGAACGUACCUUAUCGUGGGGGAUAACGCAGCGAAAGCUGUGCUAAUACCGCAUACGCCCUGAGGGGGAAAGCGGGGGAUCGCAAGACCUCGCGCGAUUAGAGCGGCCGAUGCCUGAUUAGCUAGUUGGUGGGGUAAAAGCCCACCGAGGCGACGAUCAGUAGCUGGUCUGAGAGGACGCUCCGCCACGCUGGGACUGAGACACGGCCCAGACUCCUACGGGAGGCAGCAGUGGGGAAUUUUGGACAAUGGGGGCAACCCUGAUCCAGCAAUGCCGCGUGAGUGAAGAAGGCCUUCGGGUUGUAAAGCUCUUUCGUCAGGGAAGAAACACCGGCUCUAACACAGUCCGGGAAUGACGGUACCUGAAGAAUAAGCACCGGCUAACUACGUGCCAGCCGCCGCCGUAA